UUCAUCAAAAGCUGUAUGGAAAAAAAAAUGACCAAUGAUAAUUUUAGGGUUGGUUUCCAGUAUGCAUAAGUUUUAAUAAUUGUGCCUGGACAAUUAUUACUAUAUCACUUGGUGACGUGGGGAUCUAUAUUGAGGUUUUAGUGGCUCGGAUGAAAUGAUUAUUUUACCUAGAUAUUGUAAUGUAAUUGAUGCAUAUGCACACAGUCGGAAGAUGCAGUGGUCUAGGAUUUACGAAAUCAAUGCAUAAAUCUUAUUGGCUGUAUUCUGGGAAUAUGAUAGGUUUUAAUAGUAGGAUCUAGCUUUGAUUAUAGCUGCAUAAGGCUGUCUGGAUCAUUCAAUAAUUGGACCCCUCCUGUUAUACCACAAACAUAAUGUAACAAUAACCAUAAUCGCAUUCCAUUUAGUUGGCGUUGUCUUCAUGGGCCGGUCGUUCCUACCAAGGCUACCUUCGGUGCCAUGCAAGUUUUGCCAAAAACUGGGUCAUGUUUAUUCAUGUUAGUUUGGAUUUGUCUUUCCUCUCUCUAGACCCAUAGACAUUAUGAACGAUUUCUCCCUGGAGAGCUCAAAUCUUUCUUGCGCAUUGCUUGUCAUUUACAUCAUUCUUCAUUACUUCGCUCUCAAAUUCUCGCAGCUCCUCUACCUUAUCAAAUAUUUUUAUUCAUCAGUCUAUCCUUUGUAAUUUGCCAGAGACAGUUCAGUUACAGUUAUAUUGUUUCUUAUUGCCUGGUAUAUUAGGUGAUGCAACACUACUUGUUCCAAUAAUCACCAAUUAGACAUUUACACUCAGUAAGCAUCGUCCUCUUCGUUCAUCUGCUCUAAUUUUAUAAGAUAUGAUUUCUUCUCUCUAUUUCUUUUUGCAUUCCAGGAUAACAAUAUUAACCAUGUUGUACUAAUUCUUGGCUAUCGAUUUGAUUGGGGCCUUUGUCAGGACUUAUCCACCAAUUAGACAUUUACACUCAGUAAGCAUCGUCCACUUUAUUCAUCUGCUCUAAUUUUAUAAGCUAUGAUUUCUUCUAUUUCUUUUUGCAUUCCAGGAUAACAAUAUUAACCAGGUCGUACUAAUUCUUGGCUAUCAAUUUGAUUAGGCCCUUGUCAGGACUUACUCAUAUACUAUGUGUUGUGGACCACCAUCUUGGUCUCGAUCGAUUGUAUCCUCGGCUCCUAUCGAAGACAUAUAGAGAUCGGACCUCAAUAGACAUGGAAAUAAGAGACCAGACUCAACCGACCUGAAAGAAUCAGACUUGAAAAUCCAAACCAACUUGCCUACAGAGUAAUCACCUUAUGGUCGGUAGCUUGGACCUCGUCCAUAACUGAGGUGCUUGGGACAUCAAUUCCGACUAAGGUGCUUAGGGCUCAUAUCUUGACCACAGACAAAGUGUUUCGAGGUCGGUCGAUGCCGAUCUCAGGGAGGUACAUAUAAGGCAGCAACUCUGAUUUGGAAAGUUCAUCACCAUCACGAUUCUAGAAAGUUUGGAUAAGGAAGGAGAUCGUCAGAAUCAAAUCAUGCCUUGAUUGGAAACCAGCAACUGAUUCCACAUCGCAAAUGCGGAAACGAUCACCGUUAGCUUGAUCCACACACAAUCAUUGGAAAUUAGUUAAUCUCCUAGGUAUACAUAACUUCAAUUCCUCCUCUAUAAAUAAAGGGACGUGGGGAUCUUCAAGAUAAACUCUCAAAAAUAUUCUUUUUUUUUCUUCUUGUUCUCCAUCUCCUAACUUGAGCAUCAUAGGAUCCUUAUCGAAAAAUACUCUAGUUAGGAUUUUUUGCAGGUCUCAAGCUGGCUCUUAGAGAUCGCUGCCUGUGCAUACUUUUGACACCUCGAUCGAAGAGAUUGUCUCCAAUCUCAGGCAUAGGAUUUGGUAGCAAUAGUUGGCGAUGGAGGAAGGGUCUCCAAAUUUCGUUUCAGGGUUUGAUCUAGGAGGGAGGGAUUCACCAUGAGACUAUGAAGAGGAGUAUCGAAUGCAUCUCGUCGUUCGAAUAGAGUAUGGGCAAAUAAUGUCCUUCAAGAGGAUGCAAUGCCUGAACUAGUUCAAGCGAAUCCAUCCUUAUAGCCAGUG
rnacentral:lncRNA from 1 species